CCUUGGCACCCUUUCUGUGCCUCUGAAGGACAAGCCUGGGUACCUGACCUGACUCCCUUUGAUGCCUUCCUGAUGUGUUCUGAGUUGUUGCAUUUGAGUCUGGUUCUGCGGGAGCCUCAGUCCUUCUCUCUAAUAGAAAUUCCUAUCCAACUCUCAAGAUUGGACUUAGGGAGCUGGAGAGAUGGCUCAGCAGUUAAGGGCAUUGACUGCUCUUCUAGAGGUCCUGAGUUCAAAUCCCAGCAACCACAUGGUGGCUCGCAACCAUCUGUAAUGGGAUCUGAUGCCCUCUUCUGGCGUUAUCCCUAUCUUACGGCUGACGGAGCAGACUCAGAGGCUGUUCUUCAACUCUAUACACAGAGACUACUAUGAAGAAGAUGAAGACACAGUCCUUUUCCUGGAGGAUCUCAGAGGAAGAUCCUCCAGGCAAGCCAUUUAUUUCAGAGAGAAGCCUAGAUGAGAGGACAUAGGAACCCAAGGUACCAUGAGACCACAACGAGCUUCUCCAAAGACACAGAAGCAAUAAGUACUGGGGCCAGGAUUCAAGUGUGGUCAGGAGGCUCAGUCAUAGUCAGAGUUCUGGGGAAGGGCAGUGGCCCUAGCUGCUGGCAGGUGCUUUUAAGAACAAGAAAAGAGGGGUUGGGGAUUUAGCUCAGUGGUAGAGCGCUUGCCUAGCAAGCGCAAGGCCCUGGGUUCGGUCCCCAGCUCCGAAAAAAAGAAAAAAGAAAAAAAAAAAAAGAACAAGAAAAGAACACUGAGAAUUGGGAUAUGGUAUGACAACUUAGUACCACAGAGCUAGAGACGAUGAAUGGUGGUACUGUCAAGUUCAAUGGGCCAUGAAGACCCAGCCCUGGACAGAACUGAUUCUAUAGCUUAGAGGUACCAGUAAAUGCCAGUAAGUGGUUUGAACUACGGCAUGUGUGGAAGAGCCAUUGGAGAUGGGAAAAACCAGGUUGCCCUUUAGGGAUGGAUUGAGAACAGAGUAUCAAAUACCACAUUGGGACUGAGAGGAGAGGUCAUAUUGAAAAUGGCAGUGGGUAUGUCAUAAUGAAAUCACAUGACCCUUGUACUGAUAUCAGAACGUGACUACUUUCUAGAAUCUAUCACCCUGAGUGUGUAUGUCUGUGGUUAUGUGUGCUUGGGCAGAUAUAUGUGUUUGUGGAUGUCAAGGCUAGGAGUCAACGCUGGGUGCCUUCCUCUACUGCAUCUUCACAAUAUUUUUUGAGACAGAGACUCUCACAGAACCUGGAGCUCAGCAGUUUGACUGGAUCAGCUCACCAGCAAACCCCAGGAACUCCCCCGCCUUCUCAGCUCUAGGAUUAUCAUACACCGCCAACCCUGGCUGUUUAAGUGGGUGCUGGCGAUUGGAACAUAAGUCCUCAUGCUUACACAGGGAGCAUUUUAUUGACCGAGCCAUUUCUCCAGCUCUGUCGUCUUCAUUUUAUUUCAGUUUAGUCUAGUAGAUAUUGGCAGGACAGUAUUCCUUUCGGAAAGUGUCUCUCCUUUACUCCAAACUUUGCUCCCUCCCCCCCCCCAUAGAAUGCCAGAUCUGAAAGGUGUUUGGGACCCCAACCUCUUCUGGGGGGUCCUCUGCUUCUGACUAGCUCAGACAUAGGAUAGGUGGGGAAGGGCUGUGUGCAUCAUGAGUUUUUCCUAGGUCAGUGGGGAAAGAGGGGGAGAUCAGAGGACUCACAAAGAGGAGGCUAGGGCAGAGAAAACACGGAGAAUGGGGCAGCUCAGGGAACAGCCUCCCUGGGCUAGUGGCUCCAUUUGGUUUCCCAUUUAAAGGGGGAGGCUUAGCUAGGCAAGGAGAAAAAGGCUAAUAAGAAAAAUAUUAAAUUGCAGUGUGUGUGUCCCCAGGGACUUCCUGUUGCCAUGACUGACCUCCUGGAGAGCGCCAUCCGUCCCCAAGCGUGGCAGCUUUAUAGGUACUUGUAGGCCUGCAAAGAACACCAAUUUGCUGCUACAGUUUGUUUUGAUAACUGAAACUUUCAAUAAAUCUAUAUUAAAAUCAAAGAGAAAAUUAACUGGGCCCCGGUGAAGGGCCCAGAGAUAAGGGAGCACAUUACCACCCUGGCCUCCACUGCCUCACAUCCAUCUCUUAGUUCAGAUUCGGGUCACCAGGGGGAUGAAUGGUACAGGCUUAUGGCGAACAAGCAGGGGGGAAGAGGGAAUGGCCAGGUUCAGGCCCCACCGAUGAUCUGGUAGAAGACAGCCGGCGGGGAAGAGAAAGAGGUAGGGGGUUGUGGUCCGAGUGGCACGAGGAGUUGGAGAAUGCGGUGGAGACAAGAAACGUAACAACAGCCUCCAUUUACUGAGCUCUUCAAUGCCAUGCACCAAGCAUCUUGGAUUUAAUUCUUCUUCUUUUUUUCGGAGCUGGGGACCGAACCCAGGGCCUUGGGCA